rnacentral:tRNA from 1 species
GCGCUUGUAGCUCAGCAGGAUAGAGCGUUCGCCUCCUAAGCGAAAGGUCGGGGAUUCGAAUUCCUUCAAGCGCGCCA